CUGCUUUCUCUCUUUUUCUACCUGUGAUUCACUGCCAAGUUGAGAACACGCUCGGUCUAUUUUUACUAUGUCUAUGACACAAACGCAGCUUGUCUAUUUCGUGCAAGUACGUUAUGCAGAAACGUUGUAAUUUUAAUUCUGAACUUGUAGCAACGUUAAAGAGAAGUUAAAGUUUCGGAAUAUCACAUUAAAUUGAAAAAUAGAGAUCAAUUUGGAGCUGGCUCUUUUUAAUAAAGGGGAACAACAAUAUAAUAAGGCUCAUAAUAUAUCUAUUCACGAAUCAAAUUCUACAAAGAUUUAUUCUAUUCAAGAAAGACAUUCAAUCCCAAAGUAAAAUGUACAAUUGAUGAACUGAUAUUACAGUGUAACAAAGCAUCACAAGUUAUUCAAGACUUAACAGUUGAGCGUAAUUUAGGCUUGCAGCAGUUGCGUAAGAUGUUCAGUAAGAUUGUCCAAAUGGAGAAGGCAUUGCGAAGAUUACAACAACCUACUGUCACUAAAAGGAAUUCCAAUAAGUAACAAAGAAAAUGUUGACAAAUCUAAUUAUUGUGUCACUGUUUAGAUAUAUUUAGGAUAACUUUUAUAAUAAUAUAUUUUAUAUCAUAGUUGUAAUAUUUUCUUUAAAA